rnacentral:rRNA from 1 species
GUGGGGAAUCUUGCGCAAUGGGCGAAAGCCUGACGCAGCCAUGCCGCGUGGAUGAUGAAGGUCUUAGGAUUGUAAAAUCCUUUCACCGGUGAAGAUAAUGACUGUAGCCGGAGAAGAAGCCCCGGCUAACUUCGUGCCAGCAGCCGCGGUAAUACGAAGGGGGCUAGCGUUGCUCGGAUUUACUGGGCGUAAAGGGCGCGUAGGCGGACAUUUAAGUCAGGGGUGAAAUCCCGGGGCUCAACCUCGGAACUGCCUUUGAUACUGGGUGUCUUGAGUAUGAGAGAGGUGUGUGGAACUCCGAGUGUAGAGGUGAAAUUCGUAGAUAUUCGGAAGAACACCAGUGGCGAAGGCGACACACUGGCUCAUUACUGACGCUGAGGCGAGAAAGCGUGGGGAGCAAACAGGAUUAGAAACCCGGGUAGUCC